UACGGGGGGGGCAAGCGUUGUUCGGAAUUACUGGGCGUAAAGGGCUCGUAGGCGGCCAACUAAGUCAUACGUGAAAUCCCUCGGCUUAACCGGGGAACUGCGUCUGAUACUGGAUGGCUUGAGUUCGGGAGAGGGAUGCGGAAUUCCAGGUGUAGCGGUGAAAUGCGUAGAUAUCUGGAGGAACACCGGUGGCGAAGGCGGCAUCCUGGACCGAUACUGACGCUGAGGAGCGAAAGCAUGGGUUGCAAACAGG
rnacentral:rRNA from 1 species